CCUCGCUUAAACUCUUUCCACCAAUGCAUGCAUGGGCAUGCACAUUAAUAUAAUCACCUAUUGCCAAGAUGACUUUCUCUGUCUGGCUAGCAAGUUCUCUGGUAGGUGACAGAAUCAGGGCCUGCACUUCCCGUGAAUGUGUGUCGACGAUCUGGCAGACGGAGAGGGCGAUCAUGGAGGUCUUGCCCGUCCCCGAUUGCGCCUGGGCGAUGACGUCACGGCCCUGGG
rnacentral:misc_RNA from 1 species